rnacentral:RNase_P_RNA from 1 species
GAAGCUGACCAGACAGUCGCCGCUUCGUCGUCGUCCUCCUUCGGGGGGAGACGGGCGGAGGGGAGGAAAGUCCGGGCUCCAUAGGGCAAGGUGCCAGGUAACGCCUGGGCGGCGCAAGCCGACGGAAAGUGCAACAGAAAGAUACCGCCUACGUCUUCUUCGGAAGGCCGGUAAGGGUGAAAUGGUGCGGUAAGAGCGCACCGCGAGUCUGGCAACAGACCGGCACGGCAAACCCCACCUGGAGCAAGACCAAAUAGGGAUCCUUUGGCGCGGCCCGCGUUGGAUCCGGGUAGGUUGCUUGAGCGUUGCGGUGACGUAACGCCUAGAGGAAUGACUGUCCACGACAGAACCCGGCUUAUCGGCCGGCUCCGCCU